UUUUAUAAAUUUCCUGUUUACCAAACUUUGAAAUUUUCGAAAAACUAAGGAUUUUUCUUAUUCCAGCAUAGAUUACCUUAGCCGUAUUUGGCACAACUUUUUGGAAUUUGGAUCUCAAUGCUCUUCAACUUUGUACUUGUUUGGCUUUAUAAAUAUUUUGAUAUGAGCGUCACUGAUGAGUCUUAUGUAGACGAAACGCGCGUCUGGAGUACUAAAUUAUAAUCCUGGUACCUUUGAUAACUAUUUACACCACUGGGUCGAUGCCACUGCUGGUGGACGUUUCGUCUCCGAGGGUAUCACCAGCCCAGUAGUCAACUCUUCGGUGUUGACAUGAAUAUCAAUAAUGUGGUCAUUUUUAUAAAUUUCCUGUUUACCAAACUUUGAAAUUUUCGAAAAACUAAGGAUUUUCUUAUUCCAGGCAUAGAUUACCUUUAGCGUAUUUGGCACAACUUUUUGGAAUUUUGGAUCCUCAAUGCUCUUCAACUUUGUACUUCUUUGGCUUUAUAAAUAUUUUGAUAUGAGCGUCACUGAUGAGUCUUAUGUAGACG
rnacentral:lncRNA from 1 species